rnacentral:lncRNA from 1 species
GAUGGUCAUAAAAAGGAAAGCGCUCCCCAUGCUUGUAAGGGGACACCUGCACUCACGCACGGCUGCCUUUGAGUUCAGCCCAGAAGUUGGUGUGCUGCCGUGUGUUGUUGAUGUGUUCCUUAAUGAAUUGUGUGCAGACUGCGUUGUCCUUUCCUGACCCACAUAGGAGAACCCAGCCAAAAUGAAGACACUGCUGCGUGACAUGUAUGCAGUGGUUGCAAGGGGACCAUACAAUGCUGGAUAUGAUUGAGAAAAAACGUUGCCUCUGCAAAGAAAUAAAAGCUCGACAGAAAUCAGAGAAAGGACUCUGCAAACAGGACAGCAUGCCUAUUUUGCCGAGUUGGAAAAAGAACACCGGGACCAAGAAAUAUAGCCCUCCUCCUUAUUCCAAACAACAAACUGUUUUCUGGGACACUGCAAUCUGAGAGGUGUGUGGAGGAUGCUCUCCCCACCACGUUGCACCAUGUACA